CAAGAUUGCACCAUUGCACUCUAGCCUGGGCAACAAGAGCGAAGAUCCGUCUCAAAAAAUAAAGAAAAAUGAAGGCUCACUGUCAAACAUUUUCACUUAAAGCAUUGAAAUUAGUGCCUAGUUAACCUGUAUCCAGAGCUGAUUUUUAGCUACAGAAAGCACUAUGAUUGUGCCAGUGACCAUGUGGAAAUACUUCUACCCAGAUGGGAAUAAGAUCACAGGCCUGACCCCAGUGGGUACUCCCUCAGCCACCCUGUCCCCUAUUUCACCCCUUCGAAAUCCAGCAACUGAAGGGGUGACACUUGGCAGAGCAGGACGCUAGCUGGAUUGUGCACCAGCACAGGGUGCAGGAUCUACUCUGAUUGGCCUGCGCCCUGCUGAUAGUGAAAUACCGUGUUUUGAAUGUUCAUCUCUAUGCAUGUUAACUUAGCUAAAGGCACCUCAGUGGAUAAUCCAAAAACCCACAUUUGGCUUUUUUGUUGUUGUUUCUUUUUUUUUUUUUUUUUUUGAGACAGAGCCUUACUCUGUCGCCCAUUCUGGAGUGCAGUGGCGCAGUCUUGACUCACUGCAACCUCCACCUCCUGGGUUCAAGCAACUCUGCCACCUCAGCUUCCCAAGUAGCUGGAAUUACAGGCGUCCGCCACCACACCCGACUAUUUUUUUUGUAUUUUUAGUAGAUAUGGGGUUUCACUAUGCUGGCUAGGCUGGUCUCAAACUCCUGACUUCGGGUGAUCCGCCCACCUUGGCCUCCCAAAGUGCUGGGAUUGCAAGCAUGGGCCAUCGUGGCUGGCCUUUUUUUUUUUUUUUUUUUUUAAUCACAGGUAUGUGACAUAUGAAUUAAGUGGUCAAAUGUAAAACUAAUGGGGACACCAAGCCUCAGGAAGAACAUCCCAUGUUUCUGUUUAAUUCUCUUAUGUGUUAUACUACCUUCCCUUUCUCUUUCUUAUACACAUAGAUUUUCCUUAAUUGCAGCCCAAGAGGACACUGCCCCAUUUUGUUUUGUUCUUUUGUCAUUGGGACUUAAAGUGGGUGCCUCAAGUCUUUGGUAACAGUUUUAACAGAACACUGACAAUGACUGGAUAUCAGUCAGUGUUGAUCUCCUUCCCAAGCUACUGUCUGAACACUAAGAUCCUUUUUUUUUUCUUUUAAUGAAAGGUAAAAUACAAUUCUGCUCUGUGAUUUAUACUUCUACCAGAUUUGUUUUAUUGACUUUUCAUUAGUCUCUCAAAGAUGAUACACUGUUUUUCUUUGUUAAAUGUUUGGGCCAGUCACGGUGGCUCACGCCUACAAUCCCAGCGCUUUGGGAGGCCAAGGCCAGCGGAUGGCUUGAGGUCAUGAGUUCGAGACCAGCCUCAUAGCAAAACUCUGUGUCUACUAAAAAUACAAAAAUUAGCUGGGCCUCAUAGUGCAGACCUGUAAUCCCAGCUACUCAGGAGGCUGAAGCAGGAGGAUCACUUGAACCUGGGAGAUGGAGGUCUCAGUGAGCUGAGAUUGCGUCACUGCACUCCAGCCUGGGCAACAAAAUGAGACUCCAUCACUGUCAAAAAAAAAAAAAAAAGUUUGUAGGAGGAAUGAUUGUUUCCUAUUGUUGGAAAAAAAGCCAAACGGAGUGAGAAUUUAGAGCAUGAACUUUGAAUGAGUCCUAUAUUGUAGUUUCAGCCUUACCCCUUACCUGUAUGGCCUUAGGCAAGUCACUCUACCUGUCCAAAUCUGUUUCAUCAUCUGUAAAGUAGGGGUGGUAGUAAUAGUUAACUCUCUCUCAAAUGUGAUAAAAAUAUUAAGUGCUUAGAGCAGGGUUCACCCUACUGGUCCUUGGCCUGUUAGGAACCAGGCUGCACAGCAGGAGGUGAGGGGUGGGCAGGUGAGCGAGCAAGCGAAGCUUCAUCUGUAUUUACAGACACUCCCCAUGGCUUGCGUUACUGCUUGAGCUCCAUUAAUCCAGUGGCAGCAUUAGAUUGUCAUAGGAGUGCAAAUCCUGUUGUGCACUGUGCAUGCAAGGAUCUAGGUGGUGCACUCCUUAUGAGAAUCUAAUGCCUGAUGAUCUGUCACUGUCUCCCAUCACCCGUAGAUGGGACUGUCUAGUUGCAGGAAAAAAAGCUCAGGUUUCCCACUGAUUCUGUUAAUACAUUAUGGUGAGUUUUAUAAUUAUUUCAUUAUAUAUUACAAUGUAAUAAUAAUAUAAAGUGCACAAUAAAUGUAAUGUGCUUGAAUUACCCUGAAACCAUACCCCCCAACCCUGUCCAUGGAAAAAUUGUCUUCCACAAAACCCAUCCCUGUUGCCAAAAACACUGGGGACCACUGGCUUAGAGUAUUCAACAAAUGUUAGCCAAACAGUUAGCAACUGAAUUUUCUGACCCUGUCAGACAUGCUCCUGGAAUAUUUGGUGUCUGAAUUAUUGGAGAGUACCAAGUGACCUUGGAAAAGUCACUUGAUCUUUCUGAGUUCCAGUAAAAUGAAGAUAAUACAUAUACCUCCCAGGGUUGUUUGAGGCUAAAAUGAGAUAAUAUGAAAGCAUCUAUUUGAUAAUUUGCUCAACAAAUAAUUAUGGAGUGCAUUCCAUGGGUUAUAACGGUGAACAAAAUAGACAAUGGCCUUGGUAUUCAUGGCAGUAAGGCAGAGCAGGAAUAAAUACUGAUUUUCAAUCAGAGAAGGGGGAGAAGUGCCACAUCGUACAAGUUACAAAUUAGAAUGCAGUUCUCCCUCUGAUGAAGAGAGCAGGUUUUAUUCUCCACAAAAUUAAUGAAGCUCUCUAGUCACCAGGAGUUACAAGAUUAUGUCACUAGUACCAAGACAACUGGUAGUGGUUGAUGACUCACUAUUUAUAAACCCUGAGUAUGAACUUAAGGCUGUCUUUCUGGAGCAUGGGCCUGAGAAUUGCCAGAAUGUGCUGUCUGCCCGUGGUUACCCAUUCUGCUGACUCCGGUGGGAACACAUGUUAAAUGAAUUCUGGAAUGUAUCUCGAGUGAUCAGAGCCCUGGGUGGUAAACCAAAGGCUCUGGGGCACAAGUGUUUUUUGUGUUUUUUUUUUUUGUUUGUUUGUUUGUUUUAAUCCCUUCCAGUUGAAGGUCAUGUCUGGAAGAGGUAUGGGAAAUGAACAGAUGGUUUUAUACAUACUAUCAAAUAAAAGUUAGUUUUUCUGGACCAUGUUUUAUGGUAUUGAUAUUUCAAGGUUCUAAAGCACCCCUGGGAAGCUGUUGCCUCAACUGGAUUAGAAAUGUGAUAGAUUAGGGGACACUUUUGAAAGAUAAAGGGGAAGACAGCAGGAGUAGGCCAGGACAGCCUUCACACCCUGUUGUAGUUCUCACACCUGUGAGGGGAGAAAGAGAGAAAGAAGGAGGGGCUGGGUGGGAAAAGCCUCAGAUUGCAGCACAGUUCUGAGAAAGCCACUGACGGGCCCAUGGUGUCCCCAUGCCAAAGUUGCCCAAGAGAAGAAUCCUUGCAGGGCAGGGAUGGGCCAAUAAUAUACCCUCAGUGCUAGGUCAGCAGCUGGGGAGAGGGCAGGGACCUGGACGGAAAAUGUGGCCUUAACAUGAAGACAGUGGUGGGUCUGAAGGGGCCAGCCUCCACAGCUGGCCAUCACAUUGAAGGAGAGCUAAACAGCAUACUGAGUGGUGCAGACCCCAAUUUGAAUACCAUUUUUGGGAACUGUGGCAUAUGAAGGUAGAUCCUUAGGAAUCCAAUGUACAAAAACACCCACAACUAGAUAUUCUUUCAGUACUGAUCACCUAGGUGCCAGGUACUGGGGAUGCAACCCUGAGCAUGAUAGAAGGGCCCUGCCUCAUGCAGUGUAUAGUCUGCGAGGGCAGGCGCGGGGCAUCAAGGAAGAGCCCAGCAGGUGUAUCCUACUCUACACAGGGUGGUCAUCACAUUCCUCUUAGGAGGCCAGGUAACCUGAGCUCUGUAGGCAUUAGGAAAGCAAGGACAGAGGCCUUGAGGCAGGAAAGAGGGCCCAAGUGCCAGAGUGAAGGGAACACUCCAGGGGACCAGAUGGCAUGGGAUGAGGUUUGGAGCAGAGCAGGAGCCAAAUGCGGCAAGGCUUUGUCAGUUAUGGCGAGGCUUUUGGACUCUAUUUUAAAUGUGAUGGGAAGAGCGGCAAAUGUCCUGAGCAAGGGAGCAGCGUGGUCAGAUUUACAUUCUGUGAAGAGCACUCUCCCUGCUGUGCGAGGAUCAUUUGGAAGGUGGCGAGUGUGUGCGGUGGGAGACAGAUGAGGAGUAAUCUGUAAUAACAGUAAUCCAAGUGGAAGAUGUUGGAGAAUUGGACCUGCUGAUGGCUUCUGUGUAUGGGAUGAAAGAAAAAGGAAUCAAAGAUGCCUCUCAGGUCUCUGGCUUAAUCAGCUGGUAAGGCCAUAUACUGAGAUGAUAGAGAACAUGGGAGAAGGAACAGAUUUGGGAGGAAUGUGCUAGGAAAUUAAGAACUCAGUUUUGGAUAUAAGUUUGGAAUGCCCAUUAGCCAAGUGGCAGUGUCAGGUGCAUUGUACUUGAAACACAGAUGUCCAGAGGCAUAUAUGAUUCUGAGGGAGGUUAGGCUGGAGAUAAUGAAUUCCAGAGUUGCCAACAUGUAGAAAGUAUUUAAAGCUUUAGGAUUGAGUGUGAUCACUUGGGAAAGGAUUAUAGAUAGAAAACUGAGGGCCCAAGACCAAGCCCUGAGGAGCCCCUACGUUCAGAGGUUGAGUAGAGGAAUAGGAGGCAAGAAAGGAGAGAAGAAGCAGGGGAAGGGUGUUUCUGGGGGAGCACUCAGUUAAAUGACCCCAAGAGGAGGGCAAGCGAGAUGAGAGAAAACUCUCGGUAACCUGAGGGCAUAGUGGGGACCUGAGAACAUUUGCAAAUGACUGGGGAGGAUGCAUGCCAGAUUAGUGGGUUAAAGAAGGCAUGGAAGAUGGGAAGGUAGAAACAGCAUGUAUAGACCUCUCUUUUAAAAAGUUUUGUUGUGAAAGGCAACUGAGAGAUGGAUUAAUUGCUGGAGGCGGAAGUGAUCACUGGAAGGGAAUCUUAAAUUUUCAUUUAUUUGUUCAUUCAUUUAAGAAAGAAGUUGUUGUAAAAAGAACAUUAGCACUAAUAAUUUUUAUCCCACUUUGCCAGGAUUAGACUCUCAAACAAAAAGGAAAAACAAAAGCUAUUCCCAGCCACGGGAGUGGAGAAAGCCCAGGGUUUCCCAAACUCUCGAUUGCCUCUUGCAAGCAGAUGACCUGGGAGCAAAUGUUAUGGCAGAACGAUGGACUCCUAGCAAGGGCCGAAGCGUGCCCUGUGAAGACUGGAAAGAAUAUAUGCUUGUCAGAGAUUUGGUAACCUCAUCAAGACCUUAAACUGCAGUUUAAGAGGGUGGAAAAAUUACUCAAGUGAAACUAUAAGCCCUGUUAUUCGUAAGAAAACGUAUGACACAGAGCAAUUGGAGAAUCUCUUAAUUUGCAUGCAAAAAUAACAGGAGGAAAAAGUAAGGAAUGUUAUAUCUGAUUUCAAGUGUGAAUAUGAAGCAAAGGAACUUGAGAUGUUAACACCUGAAAGAAAUCAAGAUUUCCUAGAUACCCCUGAAACACAGGGCUCAGGACUAGAAUAUGGAAGCCCUGAGAGAACAGAUAGCAGAGGAGCAUUAUAUGUCCAAAAUGUCUGAAAGUGCACAGAAAGCCAGAAGCCUGCACGAAGAGGUGGGAUGGAGAAUAUUUGUGUGGAGAUGAAAGGAGAGAGACUCAAGUGAUUCCACCAUGGGAGCAGUUUAAAACCAGGGACCACAAGCCACUACCAUCCAUAGGCCAUGUUUCCUAACCCCAGUUUCAAACUGCGAGAGGCAAGAUGUAGUAAAAAUGUUUUUCAGCUCUCUAGGCCUUUACUAGAAUGUUUAUUCUGCUCAGUGCAUUCGGUAAAUUAUUGACGUGACAAUUUCAUAUCUAAGAAAAUGAAUGAAAAAAAAUGAGGCUCUACUAUCUAAUUCUCACCAAGAAGGAAAAUUAUAUCGUUGUUGAGUUUACAAUUACAUGUAAAAGAGGUAUUGUGACUAGUAAAAAAGUGGUGUGAAAACUCAAAAAAGAGCAAAUCUAUACCCAGGUUCUAGCAGGGAGACCCUGGGUAAUCAGGCAACUCACUCCAAGGUAGAAUGGAGUCAGGCACUGGGGUCCAGGAGACUUAACUUUAAUGAGAUAGAUAGCGAACAGUUCAGAAAAUUAUAGGUAUGAUUCUAUGGCCAGAAACCAGAAGGGAAUAUGGUGCAAGAGGAAUGGAGCCCUAAAAAACAGUUCUGUCACACGAUCACAUAUAAUUGUCAUGAGAAAGAAAUAGCUCAGGUACCUAGCAAGGCCUGGGAUUGCAUUGAGUUCUCCAACAGACAAGAGGCACUCGCAGGGUACCUGAACGGCACCAGCUGCUGGGAAUUGGCUGGAAGGCCAACUCCUGAAAAGCUGAGGCUUUCAAAUGAGUACUGGUCAAGAUAAAGAGAAGUUAUGUUUGGAGAUCACAAAUUUAAAAAGGAGUAAUGUAAAGAUGACAGCUGACAAGAAAUGAACAAAACACUGCAUUUGUGAGGGAUUGGUAAAGAAAGACCUCAGAAAUGCUGGGAACCUCAGAAAACACAGCUUUGUCAGCAUCUGUUUUUCUGACCCAGGAUAAGAUCUUCCUUUUAGAUCUGCUGGUCAAGGGACAGAGCUGAACUCUAAGCCAGCCCUGGUCUGUGAGGUUCUUGCCCAUUCAUGCCUAAGACUGAAAAGCUUUACUUUGAAUAUACUAAAUCUUGCUCAAGGUGUAGUCCCCCAUGCUUCUCAAGGCUGUGUGUUCCAUUGGGUAAGGCUGUGGUCUUCAGAGUGGGACAGCAGCAUUAGAACUGCUUGGCCUGCCUGCCUGUUACAAAUGCAGGUGCUGGUACCCCUCCCAUUACCUCCGUUCCCAAGCAAUUUAGAACCUUAAGGAGGACAGCAAGGGAGCUUCAGAAAUCAGCGUUUUCAAUACAUUCCUCAAGUGAUGCUAUCCAAAAUUAGACUUUCAGAACCACUGAGCUAAGUCAGCCAACACCUCUUGUUGCUCAGAGCUUCCAUGAGUAUAUGGGCUUACAGCCUGAAAAUCCCUUUUUAUCAAAGCUUUGCUGCAUCCUAACUCAUGGAACAACAGACAGGAUUUCCUAUGGAAAUCAGGCCUUUAAAAAAAGAAAUGUUAUACUCUUCUAAUGGUUAGAUUUGCAGUAAUUCUCAACUCUGCAUGUUAGAAUCUCCUGGAGAACUUUUAAAAACACACGUGUCCAUGCCCCACCCCAGACCAAUUAAAUCAGGAACUCUGGAGUGGGGAUCAGGCAUGAUUGUUUGCUUGUUUGUUUUUGUCUUGUUUUAAGCUUUCCAGGUGGUUCUGAUGUGUGGCCAGGGUUGAGAACUACUGCUGUUUAAACUUUAGAAAAGCGUAACACUUUUAAAAGGUUCUAUUCCAUGUGAUACCUCUUAUCCUUUCACAUCAACAAAUAACCCCUACUUUCCAUUUCUUCUUCAUGAAAGAUAGUGUUCUCAUUUCUCAAAAUUAGAAGGCAUGAAACAAACAUGGUUAAAAGAGAACACAAUAUAGUAGCUAUACAAAAUAUAUCUCUAGGCCCUAAAAAUUUGCUUUUGGGGCACUGAAAAGAUAUGCAGAUAAAAUUGCGUAGCCAUAAGUUCUUAAAGCUUAUGAUAAAUGAGAGUGGCCAAAAGACAGGAAUUGAGGAAAUGUCAACCCAGUAGUCCAAAAGGUGACUCAUGGACAAUAAAUACCAGCUGAUAAAAUCGAAGCUGUUUCCUGGGAAAAAAUUAUAGAAUGCUUAAUUAAAAAGAUAAUUUGUGAGACUUUAAAAAGGAAUCAGGAAAAGUAGACUAUUCCUGUUUGGGUACAUUGAGGGGUGCUGGCAAUGGAGUUUAACCCUACAUCUGACAAAAUCACUCCGAAAUCCUCACAUUAUAUGAUGGAUAUGGUGGAGAAAUGUAGACUGGGUUGUUACUCUGUUUAGGUGAAUAUACAGCUGCUUGAGCAACUACAUUCAAACCUCAUCGAUAGUGGAAUGAUGUUUAACCUGGAGAGAGAUCUCUUGUUCUCUUUCUUGUUCUGAUAUUCUUUGAAACCUAUAGUUGUGAACCUCUUUAUUCUAGAAGUGAAUUUUAAUGUAAAGAAUUUUGUCCAAAGUAAUGUUAUACUCCAGCUCAGGAAUGUACAUAUACAUACACACAGGGGACUUCAAAAAGUUUGUAGAAAAAUUGAAAUAAAAGAUAAAAAUACGAAAUAAAAAUUUCUCAACAUAAGCUCCAUCAAGUUCAAGACACUCUUGUGAGCAAUGAUACUAGCCAUCAUUUAGUCCAUCCCUAAAGAACUGAGGGACCUGGGAAUUUAACAAUGUCAGUGCAACCAUUUCUUUCUUUUUCUUUCUUUUUUU
rnacentral:lncRNA from 1 species